rnacentral:lncRNA from 1 species
UAUAUAUAUAUGUAUGUAUAUAAGCAGUUUGAUAGUAGACUAUAUUAAAAAUGAAAGUAUGAAAUUAAGUAAUUUGCAACUUUGGAAUGUCAAUUUGACUUGGUAUGAAUGAAUCAAUAUUUCAAUUGGUAUGAAAUUUUAAAUUGGCAUGAGGUAAAAAUCCUACAUUUCAAUUAGUGGGCAACAAAAUUUCAGGCCAAAAGCCCAAAUUUUAGCUCACAACCUAAAGAUCUCAAAUUUCAGCUCAAAAGUCCAAAAUUCAAAAUCCAAUCUCAUCCAUCCCGAAAUACCAAAAACAUUUCAGAAAUUCCGAAAAUUGGGAAUACCAAAAUUUCAAUUCGAAAUUGGUCUUCAAAUUCCCGUCCUAUAAUUUUCGGUUUGAGAUUCGGGAUACCAUUUUUUGUUUGGGAUCAUGUACCGAGCCACCCCUAAAGUUGACUAAGCCACAUGGCAGAUAGUUAUAAAAAUUUGAUAUCAAAUUGUUAUUUACAGUAGUUGAACUUAACUUUUUAUUUAAGGAGGGAAUUGGUGUUGUAUUGUAUAUAGAGUUAAAGGAACAAUUUCCACUUAGUACUAUGAUAUAGUAGUAUUCUUCUUCACUUGUAAGUAAGAUGUCUUAAAUUUGAUUCUCGCCAAAGGCGAAUUUGAACCACAUUACUGCUAGCUCAUUGUGAGGUAUACCCCUCUCCUCCAACGCCUUAUUAUAAAUAAUAUCAUUUAUUAAAAAAAAUUGAUUUAAACAGUAGUGUGCCAAAGAGGAGUGUACGAAAACCAUUUCUCUUGAAGAAAAACUUUGGGUUUUCCUCCUUGUAAAAUUGAUUUAUAUUAAGAAUGUAGAUUGGGGUGCCCCCAAUGUAUUAAAACUCUAGCUCUGCCCCUGAUUUAAUUCAACUCAUUUGCAUCAAAUAUUUUAACACUGCAAUUUAGUGAUGGUUUUCUUUAUUAUAUUAAAGUUAAGCUUAAUUACAUCCAUACCCACUGAAUCUCAACUAGAGUUUUACUUAACCUCAUAAAGUUUUAUUGUGUCUCACUUUGCCCCAUAGUCUAAUAAAUCCGUCAAACUGUUUACAUGCGACAAAUGAGACCCAUCAUUGACAAGAACUGUGUCACAUAAUUGCCAUGUGGUUGAAAAAUUAAUAAAAAAACAAUUUUAAUUCAAGAUUCUCUUUUUAAAAAUAAGAAAACUAAAACACUAACCAAAGUUUUUGGACAGAUGGGGCUCAUUAACAACAAUAGUCUUAGGAUAAUGUUAUCCAUACACUAUUUUUAUUUCUCACGCAUUCUUCUUAAUUUCUCUAUUGUCAUAUUGAAUGAAUUGAAUAAGAUCAAAGAUAAAAAAAAUUAACAAAUAUGUACGAGAUUUUAAAAUGGGUGUGUGUAUUGUAUUUUUCUAGUCUUAUUAGUUUUACAUACACCCGUUAUGUUUAAAAGAUUGACAAAAUUUGCAUUUCAAUGGGUUUUUAGAGAAAGAUGAGUUUCAAGAAUGUUUUUGUAAAUAAGCCUUAAAAUUAUCAAAUAAAUUUAGGGUAAAUUACAUAGUAACCCCUCAGGUUUAAAGUCUAUUACAACCUCAUACAACGUAUUUAAAACAUUUCACUUUCAUACCUCACGUACUAUUUUAUUUUAAAAUAAUACCUCCGUUAGAUUUUUCAUCCAUUGAUUUGUUAAGCGUUGACAUGGCU